rnacentral:rRNA from 1 species
UACGUAGGGUGCGAGCGUUGUCCGGAAUUAUUGGGCGUAAAGAGCUCGUAGGUGGCUUGUCACGUCGGGUGUGAAAGCUUGGGGCUUAACUCCAGGUCUGCAUUCGAUACGGGCUGGCUAGAGGUAGGUAGGGGAGAACGGAAUUCCUGGUGUAGCGGUGAAAUGCGCAGAUAUCAGGAGGAACACCGGUGGCGAAGGCGGUUCUCUGGGCCUUACCUGACGCUGAGGAGCGAAAGCGUGGGGAGAGAACAGG